CUCUGGUCCUGUCAUUGAAUCACACACACCUGCAGCUCUGACUGAGAAGGCACAAAGUUGAAGGUAAGAGCUGUUAUCUUUAACACUCAUGGAGAAGAAAUGAGUAGCUUGGGUCUUUUCUAAAAAGGAGAGAGCUUCCACUAAUGUAGAUGGCACGCAGUCAACAAGGUUUCCAGACGAAAUGGUGGUGCUGAGCAGAGGGUUUGCAGGGUCAGGUAAGAGAUGGAAGCUGUGGCAUCUCAACCCAGAUAUGGGCUAAAUCAAGAGGGCGAGAUCCUGCUGCAUUUCUUUAGGCC
rnacentral:lncRNA from 1 species